AAUAUUUUUGGAUAAUAACAACAGGGAUGUAUUAGUUAUAUACUUGUGGCUGCCGAGCGAUAUUUUUAGCAACGUAGCUUUUUGAUAUGAGAAUGUUGGCUCUUCCUAUCAUUGAGAAGAAGAAAUCUCAAAGUGUCGGAUUGUUCAACCGUUAAAAGGGAACGAGAGCUGUAAAAAAAAAUUUUUUCUUUUUUUUUUAAUAACCAUCACGAGAUAGGUUAGUUUUUUACUCUACUGAAGAAUUAUAAUUAUAUUUAUAUAUUAUAUUGUUCCAGUAAUCCAACUAAGUACGAAAGGAAUAGUUUGGUCAGACAGUUAAUUUAGCUUUCGGUUGAAAAACCAAUAUAGCAACUAUUUUAUGUCUGUUGUGAUAAUAGCUGAAAGCAUCUUAAGCUAGAAUCCAUUCUGUAUAUACAAUAUAUGAUUAUUUUUCUUUGUCUUGGUAAUUUUUUUUUUACUGUUAAUGUAAAAAGAGAACACAUAUUAUAUUACAAAAGCAUUUUUAUAAAUGUAUUUAGAAAUAUAAAUAAUCCACUUUAUAUUUAAAUAUGUACAUUAUAUAUAUAUAUAUGUGUACAUAUUUAUAAUAUUUAUUAAUUUAGCAACAAAGAAAACGAGAGAAAAAUUGUAGACGACUUUUUUGCCUCGGAGUGCUGUAACCAUGAUAGUAAACCAUUUUAAGUUUUACGAUCUGCUGAGGCUUAUCUCCUGUGGUCAAAUUCU
rnacentral:ncRNA from 1 species